UGGGGAAUAUUGGACAAUGGGCGCAAGCCUGAUCCAGCCAUGCCGCGUGUGUGAAGAAGGCCUUCGGGUUGUAAAGCACUUUUGUCCGGGAAGAAAAGCUCUGGGUUAAUACCCUGGGGUCCUGACGGUACCGGAAGAAUAAGCACCGGCUAACUUCGUGCCAGCAGCCGCGGUAAUACGAAGGGUGCAAGCGUUACUCGGAAUUACUGGGCGUAAAGCGUGCGUAGGUGGUUCGUUAAGUCUGCCGUGAAAUCCCCGGCGUCACCUGGGAAUGGCGGUGGAUACUGGCGGACUAGAGUGCGGUAGAGGGUGGUGGAAAUUCCCGGUGUAGCAGUGAAAUGCGUAGAGAUCGGGAGGAACAUCUGUGGCGAAGGCGGCCACCUGGACCAGCACUGACACUGAGGCACGAAAGCGUGGGGAGCAAACA
rnacentral:rRNA from 1 species